AUACGAGUCAUAGGUCGGAACACUGUCGACGACCUUCCAGAAUAUCUGAAAAAACUCGGAACACAGAUCAAACACUCGAACCUUACCAUUUGCGGAAGUCCAGUGUGUUACUUGACCCUCGAAGUUAGCGCCAUUCGACAGAUCAAGCGAUUCGGCUGAUGAGGGAUCGAGCCAGUCGGGUUCGAAAAUCUUCACUAUAAAACUGGUUCGGCUGGAGGAGCCGAAUGUAUGAACUGUGCGGGGAUCAAUGUCGGCAGAAGAGCCGAAUAGAAGAAGUAUACCGUAACUAGUCAGCUGAAAGAGCCGAAUAAAUAAAAUACACAAUGAUUGGUCGGCUGAAAGAGCCGAAUGCCUAAAUAUCUAUACUAAUCUAUGAAUCCCCAAUAUCUUGUUGACAUGGCGUUACCUCCUUUCAAAACUGCUCUCUUUUAUCUCCCAAUCUCUAAAACUCCUCAUCUUCAAAACCGUUCCCUCCUUAUCUCCCAAUAAAACCACAAUUGAAUGCAUAUAAUUGCACCAAAACUAUUCCCUCUCAUCUCCCAACCUCCAAAACUCCUAAUCUUCCAAAACCGUUCCCUCCUCAUCUCCCAAUAAAACCACAAUUGAAUGCAUGUACUUCAACAAAAUUUUAUAGGAUUAUUGACCUUCCACCUGUUGAAUUGAGAGCACAAUAGAAUAGAAGGUUCGAUUCCUUAUAGCUCUACUUCUAGCAGUAGUUUUUUUUUCGUUUUUCACAUUUAAUUUGUUGUUCGCUUGGAGUUUAGGAAAGCAUUUUUGGGUGUUUUUUUUUUUAAUUUUUGGCACAUUUUAUGUUUUUUUUAAUUCGUUCUAACUUCUUGAAAAGUUUCCUUUUGUUUCAGAGAGAUGAUUCUUUUUUGUCUUGAAUGUUUAGAAUAUUUUUCCCAAUAUUAUUAUGGGGAUUUUUUCUCCUGAGAAGCUUAUUCAAGGGGCUUUUUAUUGUUGGUUUUAUUGUUGGUUUCUAUAUUUUUCCUCUUAAAUAUAAGCCGACACUAAUGUGACACUGAUAAUAUUGGAUUAUUAUCAUAGUAUAUUAUACAAUAAUUAAAAUAUCGCGUCGAUGUCGCGCAUGUGUGUAUAUAUAUAUAUAUAAUGCUCGGGUUACUUCAUUAUUGAUUUUUAAAAAAAAUUUGAUUUGCAUCAAAAAAAGAAUCGGACGGAUGAAUCUGUUUAUUUGAUUUGUUAAAUGUCAAUUAAAAUCUUUUCAGUGUGCUCUUUAAUAUUUAUUAUCUUUCACUUGCAAUAUUUCAAACAUUUUUUUUAUAAUAUCUAUGUAAUAAUUUUUCUUCUCAUAUAAUUCUUACUCUUUUUUUUUCGGUUUCUUUUAUUAUUUUUUGUUGAGUUGUGAUUCCAUUUUAAAUAUUUUUUAAUGUGUUUUUUAUAUUAUUAAGUCUAAUCAAAUAUAGUUAUAUUUUUUUUCUUCUUUACAUUCAUAUUUAUUUAUUUAAUUUAUAAACUUUUAUUAAAAUAUUUUUUUCCGCUGCAUCGCGCGGGUCACUACACUAG
rnacentral:lncRNA from 1 species